rnacentral:rRNA from 1 species
CAAUAGCGUAUAUUAAAGUUGUUGCAGUUAAAACGCUCGUAGUUGAACAUCUGCCCUUUUCCGGUUAGGCCCGCUCUGCGUGCACCUUCCGAAAUCGGCAUCCGUCUGCGUUGCUUCGCAUUGCAGACCGUUCACUUUGAGGAAAUUAGAGUGUUCAAAGCAGGCUUACGCCUUGAAUACUUCAGCAUGGAAUGAUUGAUAGGACUUCUAUCCUAUCUUGGUUCUAGGGACAGAAGUAAUGGUAAACAGGGUUGGUUGGGGGCAUUCGUACUGAACAGUCAGAGGUGAAAUUCUUAGAUUUGUUCAAGACGAACAACUGCGAAAGCAUUUGCCAAGGACGACCCCAUUAA